rnacentral:rRNA from 1 species
GGAGGCGGGCUGGAACCUCUCGGGGUUACAGCCUUGCUGAAUUAUUCACCCUUGUCUUUUGCGUACUUCUUGUUUCCUUGGUGGGUUCGCCCACCACUAGGACAAACAUAAACCUUUUGUAAUUGCAAUCAGCGUCAGUAACAAAUUAAUAAUUACAACUUUCAACAACGGAUCUCUUGGUUCUGGCAUCGAUGAAGAACGCAGCGAAAUGCGAUAAGUAGUGUGAAUUGCAGAAUUCAGUGAAUCAUCGAAUCUUUGAACGCACAUUGCGCCCUUUGGUAUUCCAAAGGGCAUGCCUGUUCGAGCGUCAUUUGUACCCUCAAGCUUUGCUUGGUGUUGGGCGUCUUGUCUCUAGCUUUGCUGGAGACUCGCCUUAAAGUAAUUGGCAGCCGGCCUACUGGUUUCGGAGCGCAGCACAAGUCGCACUCUCUAUCAGCAAAGGUCUAGCAUCCAUUAAGCCUUUUUUUCAACUUUUGACCUCGGAUCAGGUAGGGAUACCCGCUGAACUUAAGCAUAUCAAUAAGCGGAGGAAAAA